CCGACCUGUGCGCUGGUACCGAAGGAAGAGACGCUUGGGGUUCCGUGGCCUAGCAGACUCCCUGAGUAGUGCGAGCCAGUGAGCAAGGACCUACACCUACGGGGCCCUGUGCCCUCCCCCAGCUGUCCUGAGGGUCCCCAAGGUGCCCAUUCUGGAGUCCCAAAGGGCUAACUUCAGCUUAGCAGGAGGUGCCUGUAGGCGGAGGGACUGGGAGCUCAGGGAUGGAACCUGCAAGUCGUGGGUGGGAAGUUAUUCUGGGACUCAGGUUUUCCCUUUGUAGACUGCACAUGAGACUGUAACAAGGGUGCACAUGGCAAGAGUGGGUGGAGGUUGCACCUAGGGCAUGUCGCCAGGCGGAGAGGGCUAAGUGAAGAAGUUGAUCCUCUUUCAGAGCCCUGGGUAAGGCGCAGUCACAAGAAGUCCAUCCACGAUUUGGUCUGAAACCCCAAGCAUCAAAAGGUGAAUGAUCCUCCAAGACCCCAGCUUUCAUGGAGCGUGUCCUGGACUAAGAAGAGUUGGAUGGAAUGGGGCUGGUUGCUGGGAAGGGCCUGCAUGAGCCCCAGGAAUUCGUUGUAGGCUCGCCUUUGUCUUUCUUUAAAUCCUUAGGUCAUCUGAGGGCCAGGGAGAUGGCUCUGUGGAUGUGUCAGUCUGAUGACCUGAUUCACACUCUGGGACCCACAGAAUGGAAGGAGAGAACCAAUUCCCAUGAGUCUUCCCUAUCCCCCAUAUGUUAUGGUCUGCACGUUCACACAGUCACAAAUAAUAAAAAGAAUGGUAUUCU
rnacentral:lncRNA from 1 species